UGACAGUAGAUCUAGCAGCGUAAGCUAGCCUGAAAUAUUCUCUCGUAUAGAAACGUACCGAGUUUCGCCUACAAAUAUUAGAAGGUUCUUGAUUUUCAGGUUUUAGGAGAUUUUUUUUAAAUGAAAGGACUAACAGCAUGCUGCUCCAUGGUGCAAGCAGCUUAACAACGUCGAUCACAUAUUAGUUUUAAAUUUUGUUCACUUAAACUUCUUACUUAAAGAAAAACUUUCUAGUGUUAUGUUGGUUACCAGGACAACACUGAAUAUACUUCAUUCAGAAUCGAAGGAUCAUGCGGUUUACAUACGAGCAAUGGCAGACUUCGUUUCGUGCUGGUAGCUAGCCGUCUAAUGGAAACUCGAAGGACUUGGUGGAUGUUAAUCUCUUGGCAGAGCGUUUACCCAUAUCGUAUGCAUUAGUCACUAAGCUAACCACUGGAGGGAACGCUAACAAUGGAAUGGAUAGGCUUCCCGUAUGGCCUGCUUCUCCGUCGACAGAUCGCAGCUUUCGUCUCACGCGGUGUUGCCAGGUGCCUGUUAACGGCGGUGAUUUGUUAGCGCAGAACGCAAUGACAUAGAAAAAAAAUGUCAACUGCAUGUUAUCUUUGCGACGUCAUCUUUAAAUCGAUCUGGGUAAACACAGGCUGUGCAAGUAAGACUGAAGCUAGUGCAGAGUAGGCAAAAUUAUUUUGUCUUUCCGUAAAAUCUAUACUUUCUUCCUAGACAACAUUGGACGCAAAACGUUCGAGUUGGGUGAGCUAGACGAUUCUGGCAUUAACAUCCGCUGAAAGUAUGCUAACAACGGAUAAUCGUCAGGAGGUGAAUUAUCGUGUCUGAAGUUUUCUCUUCCAUAUGGAUUACACCUAACCAAUCAUAUGUAAUGUAGGUCAUAUCGAGUCGACAUGGGUGUCAUCACAAAGCAGCUUGUGCAGUAAUAGAUGCACUCAAAUGACUUUAUUCAAACUUAAAAUGAGCGCACCGAAGAUGAAUAAAAUUUGUGUGAAAAUGCAUUAUAAUUUUAUUACGAUAAAGGCACAAUUUCUGCCAAGGCCCAUAGAAACUUGUGCUGUUCUUGGAAUAUGCGUUACUGGGACAACAGCCCAAAGAUGGCGCAUGUUUCCAUGGGUUCUUGGUCGACCAAAAACGAAAAAUGUUGACGAAAUGAUUGCGUAAGUUGAGCAAGACUACCGCAAGAAUAGCGAUGACAUCGCCAAGGAGCUACCCACCAACAAUUCUAAGCUACUGAACAAAGCUGAAUACAAAAAAGCUUUAUUUUCGAGUGCCAUACGAAUUGACGCAAAGCAAUGCACUCGAUCGUACAUCAAUUCGCGAACCUUUUCCAAAACAUAUUAAAAUCAAGCUAUUUCAAAAUCGAUUGACUGAGAAUAAUGGAAGUUGACCACAUAUAACAAUAAUAUGUAAACAAAAAAUAAAAUAAAAAAGUGCUUCGUAACCUGUGUAAAAACUCA